rnacentral:rRNA from 1 species
UUAGCCUUAAAUAUAAAAAAUUAAAAACAAAAUUAUUCGCCAGAGCACUACUAGCAAUAGCUUAAAACUCAAAGGACCUGACGGUGCCUUAUAUCCCUCUAGAGGAGCCUGUUCUAUAAUCGAUAAACCCCGAUCUACCUCACCAAUCUUUGCCAAAUCAGCCUAUAUACCGCCAUCUUCAGCAAACCCUAAAAAGGAACCAAAGUAAGCAUAAGUAUUAACAUAAAGACGUUAGGUCAAGGUGUAGCUUAUAGAAUGGAAAGAAAUGGGCUACAUUCCCCAAAUUGGGGUAUUAAAAUUUUUACGAAAACCUAUGUGAAAUCAAAAGUUAAAGGUGGAUUUAGCAGUAAAUUAAGAAUAGAGAGCUUAAUUGAAUAUGGCCAUAAGGCACGCACAACACCGCCCCGUCACCCUCCUCAAAUAA